rnacentral:lncRNA from 1 species
AACUCGUUCGCUUAAGCCAACCAGGUGGUCGCUUAAGCGAGCAAUUCAUUUUCCAGCACUUUGAAUUUUUGGUUCCGAGCUUCCUAGGGCCAAUCCGAACUUCUUUAAACACUUCUUUUAACUUGUGAAAUUGAAUCAAACUUUGAAAAUUGUCCAAGAACGUUGAAUUUUCCGGAAAUUGGAUCUUCAAGGAAAUGAAAUGGGAUUAAGAUAGUACAAUGAUUAUAUGAUUACUGAAAAUGGUUGUGAUUGGUUUCCUUGAGUCUUAAAUGGUUUGGGUUUUGAAAAUGGGAAUUCUUGGAAAAUGUCAAGAGAGACGAACAUUGAUGAAAAUAUCCUUUUAAGCCAAUCACCUUACGAAUCUUUCUUGUUUAGUUUCGUAUGACUAAAUGGAGAUGUAUGAAUGAAUUACGAGAUGUUGUAUGUUUUCUUACUUGGUAUGUGAGAAAUAUUGUAAUGAUGUGAUUACAUAAUGUUGAAGAUGUUGAAAUGAUAUUGAUGAUCAUUGUGGUUGUUGUGAUGACACUUGAUUGAUAUGUGCUAUGUUGAUUUGUGUGGACGUAAUUACUUAAUAAUGCAAUUGUUGUUGGAGUUGUGCAAUGUAAUUGGAGGUGUACUUUUACAUUGUGUUGGUGUAUGUAAGUUGAGUAAUUGCAUUGUUGGGUCUUUGCUAUGUCCAUGCAUUCAUUUGGUUGUUGUAAAAGAGAUGAUUCUUUUACUUCGGAGAUUGUGUAAGAGGAGAUGUACUCUUACAUUGAUGUAUCAUUUUGGCAUCAUGGGUAACGGCCUAGACGUUGGUGAACUUGGAUCCACAUGCAUCUAGAGGAGUCUAGAACAUUGCAUGCAUUGAUGAAUUGAUUGAUUGAAUGGUUGAUUAACUGAUUGUAUCAUGAUUGACUACAUGGAUUGAUGAAUUUGUACAUUGGUGAAUUUAUUGAAUGAUCUGAUGUAUGUGGAUUGUAUGGAUGUACAUUGGUGGUUAUUGUUUAUGUUUGGUGAUGAAAUUAUGGAUAAUGAUAGUUGUUGGUAUGAAUGUAUGUUUUUGGAAACUUACAUAUUCUUAAUUCAUUACAUGAUAUUUGAAUUGAUUAUUCCUGCUUAUCUGUUAUAUGAUUAUGUUGAUGUAAUGCUCACCCCAAGUGGUUUUAACCGCCUACUUG